GGGCACGUGGCCUAGCCAGGAUAUGGCGCCAGCUUUCUAAGCUGGAUGCCCCGGGUUCGAAUGCUGUUUCGAUGGCAGAAAUGGCCGAACAUCCCGGCGUGCCCG
rnacentral:tRNA from 1 species